rnacentral:rRNA from 1 species
GCUUUACUGUAGCCUGGAAUUGGGUUCGGGCUUUAACUGCGCAGGAUAGGUGGGAGGCUAUGAUGCAAUGCUUGUGGCAUUGUGGAGCCAACGGUGAGAUACCACUCUGUUAAGGCUAGAAUUCUAACUUGUGCCGUUAUCCGGACGAGAACAGUUUCAGGUGGGCAGUUUGACUGGGCGGUCGCCUCCUAAAUGGUAACGGAGGCGCGCAAAGGUUCUCUCAGGCUGGUUGGAAAUCAGCCGUAGAGUGUAAAAGCACAAGAGAGCUUGACUGUGAGACGAACAUGUCGAGCAGGACGAAAGUCGGCUUUAGUGAUCCGACGCGCUGCGUGGAAAGGCCGUCGCUAAACGGAUAAAAGUUA